CUCCGCGCAGCCGUGGGAUCUCGAGGAGGGCGUCCAUUAGGCCGCGUGUGACCAUGUGUGGCAGGCAGGCCUGAAAUGACCAAUUCAAAGUCCCUCUUGUUGCUACUGAAGCAUGUUUGAGACCUGCGAGGAGGAGGAGGCCUCUAUCAGAGCAAAGAAUUUGGAGCUGCUUCCAAUCUGAAACUUCCUUAGCGUUGUAAAAAGCACCCUUCAUUCGAAAUCGCUCAGUGCCUGGACUCAGAGAAAGUGGGAGAGUUACCAAGGCUCGGCCCCCAAGGCACAGUGAGAAGAAACUGAGGCAAUGCCAAGAACACCCCGACCUCAUGAGCUUCAAAGAAGCUGCUGCUGCAGUUCCCGGUUCUGAGGCACCUCCAAGACCACUCUCAUCCAAACUCUCAAAACACUCCCCUUGGGUGAGCUGUCCCUUAAAAGGAACAGGGCUGGGCCUUCACAAAGGCUCCUGUGAGACUUCUACCCCCUAUGGGUCUGGUAGCACCAAGGGAUUUCUCAUGCUAUGACCACAGACAUCAUCAAGAGGGUAGAGAGACCAAGUGGCCAGUGAAUUGGCACACAUGAAGAUUCUUUGUGAUCUGUAAAGAAAGUGUAAAAUCUGCAACAAACUGUGGAAUAAUCUGACAUAGGAAGAGGUGGAUGGUACAGAAGAACAAUAAAAUAAUAGCCAGCCUUUAUUGACUGGUUGCUUCAUGCCACUACUGCUCUGUGUGCUUUUACAUGUAUAAAAUGCGUAUUUGUCAUAAGACCCUUUGAAACGGCCCUACUGUCACUCCUAUUUUAUAGAUGAUGAAGCCCAGGACAGCACAAGGCUAGUGAG
rnacentral:lncRNA from 1 species